CGCGGCCGCGUGGGGACGACCGGAGGGCGAGCGGCCGGAGCGGCGGGGCCCCCUAUAGGGGUGAAGCGCGCCCCCGCGGCCGGCGCGGGCCCCGACCCGAGCUCGGGAGCCCGCCCCGGCUGGGGUGCGACCGCGUUACCGCGUCGGCCCGUGGGACGCGGAGGGGCGCCCAGUGCGCGGAUAACACCGUGUAUCUGAAUUUGCCGAACGUUUAUCUGUGCUUGCUCCUUAAAAAGCCCGCUGAAAUCGAGGAUGCCGCAGGAGCCCAGAAGGAGGGCGGCCGGAGCCAGACCCCGACCAAGGCGAGGAAAGCGCUUCCCGGCUGCCGUUUUUCCUUCGGGACAGCCCAGUCGCUAGAGCUCAGUGGGACCGCCUCCUCCCUCCUCGCCCUACAAAAUGGGGGAACUCGCUCC